GGCUGUGAGGGCAAUCUGGCUGCCACAUCUGUCACCCCAUUGACUUGGCCUGUAUCACUGGCUGGACUGGCCUCAUUCUUCCUCCCUCACCACUCCAUGUGGCUUUAUGUGCGUCCCUCGGUAAGCUCCUCAGUCCCUGAAAGAGGAAGAGGAAGAUUGUUCUUUGCUCAAGGGUAGUUAUUUUUCCUUGCUAAGACCUUCAAUCAAGCUCUCAAGAAGUGGGAGGAGGGAAAAAGGGAAAGGAAGAAGAAAAAGG
rnacentral:snRNA from 1 species